AGGUCACGGCGAGACGAGCCGUUUAUUAGAACUAUAGGCGCCAAGUGGAAGUGCAGUAAUGUACGCAGCUGAGGCGUCCUAACAGACCGAGAGAUUUGAAC
rnacentral:rRNA from 1 species